rnacentral:rRNA from 1 species
CACGUAGGAGGCGAGCGUUGUCCGGAAUCAUUGGGCGUAAAGAGCGCGCAGGCGGCUUGGCAAGUCGGGUGUGAAAUCCCGGGGCUCAACCCCGGGACUGCAUUCGAUACUGUCAGGCUAGAGGUAGGUAGGGGAGAUCGGAAUUCCUGGUGUAGCGGUGAAAUGCGCAGAUAUCAGGAGGAACACCGGUGGCGAAGGCGGAUCUCUGGGCCUUACCUGACGCUCAGGCGCGAAAGUGUGGGGAGCGAACAGG